UACGGGGGGAGGCAAGCGUUGUUCGGAUUUACUGGGCGUAAAGGGCGCGUAGGCGGCGUGACAAGUCACUUGUGAAAUCUCCGGGCUUAACUCGGAACGGUCAAGUGAUACUGUCGUGCUAGAGUACAGAAGGGGCAACUGGAAUUCUCGGUGUAGCGGUGAAAUGCGUAGAUAUCGAGAGGAACACCUGCGGCGAAGGCGGGUUGCUGGGCUGAUACUGACGCUGAGGCGCGAAAGCUAGGGGAGCGAACGGG
rnacentral:rRNA from 1 species